CUGGCGGCAGGCCUAAUACAUGCAAGUCGAGCGCACCUUCGGGUGAGCGGCGGACGGGUUAGUAACGCGUGGGAACGUACCCUUUUCUACGGAAUAGCCUUUGGAAACGAAGAGUAAUACCGUAUACGCCCUUUGGGGGAAAGAUUUAUCGGAGAAGGAUCGGCCCGCGUUAGAUUAGAUAGUUGGUGGGGUAACGGCCUACCAAGUCUACGAUCUGUAGCUGGUUUUAGAGGAUGAUCAGCAACACUGGGACUGAGACACGGCCCAGACUCCUACGGGAGGCAGCAGUGGGGAAUCUUAGACAAUGGGCGCAAGCCUGAUCUAGCCAUGCCGCGUGAGUGAUGAAGGCCUUAGGGUCGUAAAGCUCUUUCGCCUGUGAUGAUAAUGACAGUAGCAGGUAAAGAAACCCCGGCUAACUCCGUGCCAGCAGCCGCGGUAAUACGGAGGGGGUUAGCGUUGUUCGGAAUUACUGGGCGUAAAGCGCACGUAGGCGGAUUGGAAAGUUGGGGGUGAAAUCCCGGGGCUCAACCCCGGAACUGCCUCCAAAACUAUCAGUCUAGAGUUCGAGAGAGGUGAGUGGAAUUCCAAGUAUAGAGGUGAAAUUCGUAGAUAUUUGGAGGAACACCAGUGGCGAAAGCGGCUCACUGGCUCGAUACUGACGCUGAGGUGCGAAAGUGUGGGGAGCAAACAGGAUUAGAUACCCUGGUAGUCCACACCGUAAACGAUGAAUGCCAGUCGUCGGGCAGUAUACUGUUCGGUGACACACCUAACGGAUUAAGCAUUCCGCCUGGGGAGUACGGUCGCAGAUUAAAAACUCAAAGGAAUUGACGGGGGCCCGCACAAGCGGUGGAGCAUGUGGUUUAUUCGAAGC
rnacentral:rRNA from 1 species